rnacentral:snoRNA from 1 species
UGAACCAAUAAUAAAAGCAUCAUGAGCCAAGAAUAAGGAUUUAGCCAAUUCUGUGUGCCCGAGGUGCAUU